rnacentral:lncRNA from 1 species
GUUGUCUGUGCUCCUCUCAAGAUAUAGUUCAAGUAUAAUUUAGUGUUUGUAACCAAAUCUGAUUAUUUUCAGAGGCGAAAGGCAACUGAAGUCUGAAUGUGGUCCUGUGGGAUGAAACCUUGGAGCCCUUCAGGCUGCUUGAAGUUUGUUCAUUGAUCUAACUGGAGACUUCUACUUAUGUGUUUUCAGAAGAAUGAGGACAGAGGAGAAUGUCUUUUCUUCACCCCUCAGGGAAAAGGCUGGUGUUCAUCUGGAUCUCACCCUGCUGUGGGCGGCUGGGCUGUGCAUAGCUAUCCUGUCCUCAAACCUAGAGACAUACCCUCUAUCUUGAAAGUUCUGCCAUCCAUUUGUGUGGAUUCAUGGGUAAGAUCAGGGUUUAAGAAGAUGGGCAACCAUACAGAAUGCUUAUUUGCUUAAGAAAAGAAAUGUGUUUAUAAAUGUUUAGCUAAUCAAUUACUAUGAUAUUACUGUGAUAUUAAUUAAAUUUCACAUAAUAAUAAUU